GGGUCAGUGUUAUGAGGAGGAAAAAUAAGAAACUCAGUUUUAGAGAGAUUGAGUUUCAGAAAGCGGGAGGACAUCCAAUCAGAGAUAGAAGAGAGGCAAUUGGUGACACGUUGUAGGACAGCAGGGGAGAUGUCAGUGGAGGAGAGGUAUAUCUGGUUGUCAUCAGCGUACAGGUGGUAGUGGAAUCCAUAUGAAUUAAUGAGUUUGCCAAGAGAGGCAGUAUAGAGAGAGAACAAAAAGGGACCAAGAACUGAACCUUGAGGGACUCGGACUGAGACAGGACGAGGAGAUGAG